CAGGAAAUGAGAACCUUGGAAACUCAAGCCAAUGCACACCAAUCCCAUGUACGUGGUUUAUGCUCCAUGCAAAGCAUGGAAGAGCAGUCCUCACCUCGCCCCCACUGUCUGGGAAAUGCUGGAGAGAAAUAAAAGAAAAUGCCCCCCCACUGCCCAUGCAGGACUGAGACAGAGGGAAGACGCCAGAGUGGCCCAUCCUCUAUUCUGUACUCCCAGUUGGUGGAAGAGGAAAGGGAAAUCGUGCUUAUUAAAAAUCUCAAAGGUGCAGCUCCAGGUUGUUCAGGCAUCUCA
rnacentral:lncRNA from 1 species